GAGCGAACGCUGGCGGCAGGCUUAACACAUGCAAGUCGAGCGGGCGUAGCAAUACGUCAGCGGCAGACGGGUGAGUAACGCGUGGGAACGUACCUUUUGGUUCGGAACAACACAGGGAAACUUGUGCUAAUACCGGAUAAGCCCUUACGGGGAAAGAUUUAUCGCCGAAAGAUCGGCCCGCGUCUGAUUAGCUAGUUGGUGAGGUAACGGCUCACCAAGGCGACGAUCAGUAGCUGGUCUGAGAGGAUGAUCAGCCACAUUGGGACUGAGACACGGCCCAAACUCCUACGGGAGGCAGCAGUGGGGAAUAUUGGACAAUGGGGGCAACCCUGAUCCAGCCAUGCCGCGUGAGUGAUGAAGGCCCUAGGGUUGUAAAGCUCUUUUGUGCGGGAAGAUAAUGACGGUACCGCAAGAAUAAGCCCCGGCUAACUUCGUG
rnacentral:rRNA from 1 species